rnacentral:sRNA from 1 species
AUUGCAUUCCUGGCGUUCCGGCUUGGGGUCUCCAACCUCACACGGCUUUGCCUUUGUCUCUGCAGCCCAGCCCGUGUUGUACUGGUGUGCCCGCAACAUGUCUUUCUGGAGCAGCAUUUCGUUUAACCUGGCCGUCCUGAUGAACCUGCUUGUGGCGUUUUUCUACCCAUUUAAGGGAGUCCGAGGAGGAACCCUGGAGCCCCACUGGUCGGGACUCCUGUGGACAGCCAUGCUCAUCUCUCUGGCCAUCGUCAUUGCCCUCCCCAAGCCCCAUGGCAUCCGGGCCUUAAUUGCCUCCACAAUUCUACGAUUGAUAUUUUCAGUCGGGUUACAACCCACGUUGUUUCUUCUGGGCGCUUUCAAUGUAUGCAAUAAAAUCAUCUUUCUAAUGAGCUUUGUGGGCAACUGUGGGACAUUCACAAGAGGCUACCGAGCCAUGGUUCUGGAUGUUGAGUUCCUGUAUCAUUUGUUAUAUCUGGUGAUCUGUGCCAUGGGGCUCUUUGUCCAUGAAUUCUUCUACAGUCUGCUGCUUUUUGAUUUAGUGUACAGAGAAGAGACUUUGCUUAAUGUC